GGACAGGGGGCUGUCCCGCUGUGAGGAAGCUCUUGGCUUACCCUCCUCUGAGCCUCAGAGCUUGUGAGGUUAGUUCCUGGGUUCCCUGGGUGUGGGCAACCUCUAGCCCUGUUCAUCCCUUGCGUUUCAACAGUACCCCCAGGUGACCCCCACCCCUGAUGUUCCUGCUUUUCUAUUUUUAUUGUUGCUAAAUCACAGCUGACACUUUCCUGGCCUGAGACUGAGCCCUCCAGUCUCCAGCCAUUCCUUAUAGGAAGUAAGAACAGGGAAGUGGAUAGGGGAAACAGACCUUUCCAGAGGGAGAGGCUGGCAUAGGAAGGGCUGAGUCCCGUGGGUGUGUGCUGGCACCGACAGCCCCAUAGGCAGGGGCCUUCCCCCCGGCACCCUUCUCUCUCCCCACAGCUUCCCCCGCCCCGGAAAAGCUAGCAAGCCUUCCUUCCUUCCUCCGGGAAGCACAUCUAUCCAGAGCAGGCUCAUCCCCGGCGGCCACACAAUGGCCCUUAUCAGCCGUGGAGCCAGGCGUAGACCCAGUGCACACCAGUACAGACUACUGAGACCGCUCUGCGGGUGGGUUCAGACCCCAUUCCUGUUUCUGGUCCUGUGGGAAACCACAGGUGCCUGGAACUUUGAAGAGACUGUACCACUUCUCUGAGCCUUGGCUUUCCCAUCUGCCCAAUGAAGGGUGCCAUGCAGUAACCCUCGUGAUGGCUGUGCAUGUGAGAAGGAACAGGUGGGCAAGUGAGGGCUUUGGAGGUCCCUAGGUAUAUGUGUUGGGGGCAGGGAUAGGUUACCAUGGGGGAAAACUCAGCAAGAAGGGGCUGAGGAGAAGUGGGGCAGAAAGAGAAGAUGGUGGCAUUCUGGACUGGUUAACGCAGGCAGAAGGCUCAACACCAGGGUAUGCAGAGCAGCGGGUCAGGAGGGAUGAACAAGAGCUCAUUUGACUUAACAGAGUACAUUAAGCGGCCACCGGCAUAGAUGGCAUGCUCCACCUGGUUAGGGCCCCAGAGGCUCACCAUUCUAGAACCUCAUCCUAGCCCCAGUCCUGGCCACUUCUGCAAAUCUCAGACACAGAAGUCUAGUUGGGAUCUACAGGGUCCCUGUUCCUGGAAUCUACAGCUAGUCCCAGGCCCAUCACCGUACCCCCACCCCCCAAUCAUCAGUCACACGCAAGUGUAAAAGCCACG
rnacentral:lncRNA from 10 species